GACGUAGGUGGCAAGCGUUGUCCGGAAUUCCUGGGCGUAAAGCGCACGCAGGCGGUCUGUCCAGUCGGAUGUGAAAUCCCCGGGCUCAACCUGGGAACUGCAUCCGAAACUGGCAGGCUAGAGUCUGGUAGAGGGGGGUAGAAUUCCAGGUGUAGCGGUGAAAUGCGUAGAGAUCUGGAGGAAUACCGGUGGCGAAGGCGGCCCCCCGGACAAAGACUGACGCUCAGGUGCGAAAGCGUGGGGAGCAAACAGG
rnacentral:misc_RNA from 1 species